AUGUUGCCAUCUUCAACCCGAACCCAGAGUCAUCAUUCUAUGGUAGCUUUAAACCUGACUGUUUUCAAGGCAAUCAUCAGGGACAUGAGAUUAAUCCAUGUUCACGUUUUCCUGAGUGCGCCCCUUGAAGAUGAGCAGAGCCUCCAAAACGCAGAUCUGCGGAACUACAGAGAAAUGAGAAGCGCUGGAAGAAAGGCGCUCUGCACAAGCCGAAGAAGGGCCUGUCCGCGGUCGCAAGAAGGAGGCCAGAAUUGCAGCAGACUCGGCGCUCCACGACUGGGCUGAUGGAGAAACAGGCGUGGAGAGGGGCCACAGGCCAGCGGCACCCUCUCCCUGUGCGCCGGUCAGAGGAAAAAGGCCUCUGGACCGACAGGCGUGGACAAGUGGCUGAGCGCCGCGGCUGCGGAGCAGACCAGGCGGGAAUUGCGGCCGCCAGCUCCCGGUCGGCGGGCGAGGCGCCUGCGCGAGCCCGUCACGUGGGUUGCUGGGCUUCGGGGUGAUUGGUUGGCCGACGAAGGGCCUUCGGCCCCGCGAAGCAGAAGUGGCGACAGAGGUCUCCCGGGAGAUAGGACUUUGAGGCCUAUAAAUGUGCAUCUUUUUCAUAUGCCUUACAUUGGAGGCCUAUAUUUUAGGCUUACUUACAAUUUAGGGUUAGGUCUCCCAGAAACUGUUAGUUUGCAGCCAAGUCCAUUUCAAGAAGAAAUUUAUUAAAUGAUGCAGUUAGAACGGUGCUGAAUCAAAAACACAAUUCAUACCUGAAAUAUCAGGUGUGGGCUUAAACUGGUUUCUGGUUUGCACCAAUCAGCUGCAAAAGGCAUUUUGAGAAACAGUAGGUAUAUUUCGGUGUAAACUGAAAAUUAGAUGUUGUUUGGGAAUUAUCGUUAGUUUUCUUAGGUAGCCAGGGCAAGGACCAAGGGGGGGAAGUAGUUUUAACUUUCAGAGACACAUGCUGAUGUAUUUAGACAUCUAAUGAUGUUUGAAAAUUAUUUUAGAUUGUUUAAAUUUAAACUAAAUCAAGGAUAUGGGGCAAAAUGGAAGGAGAGGAACUGAUAGGGAAUAAACAAAAAAUAUUUAAGACCA
rnacentral:lncRNA from 1 species